UUCUAGCCUGGAUUGAAGGGAAAAUCCUUUUUCUUUUUCCUGAAAAAAGAAAAAGAUUGGAAUGAAAAGCCGGACGAAUC
rnacentral:sRNA from 1 species